CGGAAGGUCCAGGCGUUAUCCGGAUUUAUUGGGUUUAAAGGGAGCGUAGGCGGAUUGUUAAGUCAGCGGUUAAAGGGUGUGGCUCAACCAUGCAUUGCCGUUGAAACUGGCGAUCUUGAGUGCAGACAGGGAUGCCGGAAUUCGUGGUGUAGCGGUGAAAUGCUUAGAUAUCACGAAGAACUCCGAUCGCGAAGGCAGGUGUCCGGGCUGCAACUGACGCUGAGGCUCGAAAGUGUGGGUAUCAAACAGGAUU
rnacentral:rRNA from 1 species